rnacentral:rRNA from 1 species
AUUGAACGCUGGCGGCAUGCCUUACACAUGCAAGUCGAACGGUAACAGGUCUUCGGAUGCUGACGAGUGGCGAACGGGUGAGUAAUACAUCGGAACGUGCCUAGUAGUGGGGGAUAACUACUCGAAAGAGUGGCUAAUACCGCAUGAGAUCUACGGAUGAAAGCAGGGGAUCGCAAGACCUUGUGCUACUAGAGCGGCCGAUGGCAGAUUAGGUAGUUGGUGGGAUAAAAGCUUACCAAGCAGACGAUCUGUAGCUGGUCUGAGAGGACGAUCAGCCACACUGGGACUAAGACACGGCCCAGACUCCUACGGGAGGCAGCAGUGGGGAAUUGUGGACAAUGGGCGCAAGCCUGAUCCAGCAAUGCCGCGUGCAGGAAGAAGGCCUUCGGGUUGUAAACUGCUUUUGUACGGAACGAAAAGGCUCUGGUUAAUACCUGGGGCUCAUGGCGGUACCGUAAGAAUAAGCACCGGCUAACUACGUGCCAGCCGCCGCAGUAA